rnacentral:sRNA from 1 species
UGGGCAUAUUUUUUCUACCAGAUAUAGCGAAUUAAUGUGAGCCAUUUUAAACUAUGUUUUUCGGCGUUGAGGCGUGCCCUGGCGGCAACGUCCGCACGAAAAUAAGGCUGUAAACCGCAAUGUGUGCGAAUUAUUGGCAAAAGGCAACCGCAGGCUGCCUUUUUCUUU